rnacentral:rRNA from 1 species
AUGUGGACGCUGCUGCCCGACGAGGGCAUGGCGAGGGUGCGCCGCAAGAAGAACUUCCGCCACAUGGAGCGCGUCGACGGCCGCAUGCUCAACGUGCUCCAGGGCCUCGAGCUCCACGCCAACGUCUUCUCCCCCGACGAGCGGGCCAAUAUCGUCACCUGCGUCCUCGACAUCCAGGACCAAGGCCGCCGCGGCCGCCUCCGAGGUGUCUUCCAUCGGAUUCUGCAGAAUCUACCUGACUACACAAGGUCUUGCAGGUUGCAACAUCAAGAAUUGUUGGGCUUAAAAAUCCAGGAUGGUGUUGUUAAUGCAGCAUCUCUGUUUGAAGCAAGACAUUUUUAG